AAUGAUGAUAAGUUGAUGGAUUUGUUCUGAAAUGUGGAUGUGUUUUGUCUUCACUUAAGGUGCGUGAGUUAGCUGAAAAGGAGCCUGUAAAUGCUGCUGCAGUGAUUUUACCAGAUUCUUGACUAUCAUACUCAUUGGAACAACAUAAUAGCAGGGAACGCCAGAAAAGUGAGUGCAGUCCGGUUUGAAAGAGUUAAAUGAUAUGAAUAAAAUUUUUGAGGCACGCGAUGUAAGAAACAUGGUUCCCAAGUUCGUGAGAAAAUGGAGCAGUGAGGAAGAGUCUGAGGGUAACCAGCAUGCUCGCUCUGAUGAACAUUUAAUUCCUGAAAAUGAAAGUAUGAAAACAGAGUAAUGAUCGUUGUUCCUGUUUUGGAGUAAUGGUUUUAUGCUCUUUCUCUCUGUUUAAGAUAGUUAGCUUCUUUAGCAUCUCAUUCAAAAGUAUGAAAACAGAGUAAUUCAUUAAGUUAUAUAUUUCACCGUUAUUGCGGUCAUAGUGGAUGUAGUCUCACAAGAUGCAAUGAGUAAAGCUAAAUAUAAGCUCCACAGAUC